AAUGAAUUUAAACUUGGGUACUCUACAAGAAUUCAAAGGCAUCAUCUCCAAAGAUACCCAAGCUAUCAAUGGACCUGAGUCAGAAACAAUUCUCCUUCUGAACUUAAAACACACUUCACCACAGUUCUUCUCAGUGUUUGACUGCGCAUGUCAAAGGAAUCAGCAGAUCUGGAUAACCGAUGCUCUGACUGUAACUCUCAGUGAGUUUGGCAUCCAGAAUAAACGUGGUAACUUUUCUCCUAAGGUCCGUGUUUCACCUAGUGUUCUUCCUCCUCUGGUCUGAAAAAUAUUUAUUGAAGACAGAGCCCUAGUCUCUCAAGAUAAUAAAAAGUUGUCUGGGAAAGAAGAAAAUACUCAGAGUAAAAUACUGCGGUUUAUUGUUGAACUGUUGGUUCGAGUCUGUUUCAUAAAAGCCCACGGAGGACGAAGCAGGACGUUGAGGGAAGUUGCUCUUGGGUAUGAGCAGAUGCAGGACAGGUGGAGCCCUGGCUCAGCCACUGACCAGCACAGCACACACCUUGAAUGCUGAUGAAUGUGGCAGAGAUGACAAUGCCAUUUCUGCUCUUUACUGAUUUGUUGCUGUGUUCUAAGAUCUGUGCAUUAUGCAGAUUGUCUCAAUUAAAUAUUCACAUAACCCGGGCCCGGCAUGUUGGCUCACGCCUAUAAUCCCAGCACUUUGGGAAGCCGAGCUGGAGGGAUCACCUGAGGUCAGGAGUUAAAGACAUGAAACCCUGUCUCUACUAACAACACAAAAAUUAGUCAGGCAUGGUGGCUUGUGCCUGUAGUCCCACCUACUUGGUUGGCUGAGGCAGGAGAAUUGCUUGAACCCAGGAGGCAGAGGUUGCAGUGAGCCGAGAUUGCACCAUUGCACUGCAGCCUGGGCAACAGAGCGAGAAUCCAUCUUUAAAAAGAAAAAAGAAAUCACAUAAUCUUUAGAGACUUCAUGGGCCCAUUUACAGAGCCAUUGGGUGGAUAAAGAAAAGCAAAGCACAAAGUGACCUCAUGGGGCCAUCUGUGCUAGGUUAGGCCUUUGCACAUAAUUAAAAUUCAACAAAUAUUGUAGUGGUAUGUAUGCUGGGGCAGAAUAAAAGAGGUACUAAUUAAAGAGUUCAUUAGAGCAAAAUACAAAGGAAUGUGGAAUCUACAAUGGAAAUGUGAUCUUUGCCUAACCACAGUUAAAACUCGGUAGUGUUAGCUGAAGAUGAUUUUUUAAACAACAACAAAAAAAUGAAUUUGAGGUAAGAAACUCAUUAUACAAGAUACAAUCAUUUUGGAAAGAAAAGUAUUAUUUAACACAUCUCCCCACGUGAUAUGGCUCCAGA
rnacentral:lncRNA from 1 species